rnacentral:rRNA from 1 species
AGUGGGGAAUAUUGCACAAUGGGCGAAAGCCUGAUGCAGCGACGCCGCGUGCGGGAAGAAGGCCUUCGGGUUGUAAACCGCUUUCAAUUGGGAAGAAGAGAUGAGAGUUAAUACCUCUCUGAUUUGACGGUACCUUUAGAAGAAGCACCGGCUAAUUUCGUGCCAGCAGCCGCGGUAAUACGAAAGGUGCAAGCGUUGUUCGGAUUUACUGGGCGUAAAGAGAUCGUAGGUGGUUUGUUAAGUCGGAUGUGAAAUCCCAGGGCUCAACCCUGGAACUGCAUUCGAUACUGGCAGGCUAGAGUUCGGGAGGGGGAAGCGGAAUUCCGUGUGUAGCAGUGAAAUGCGUAGAUAUACGGAGGAACACCUGAGGCGAAGGCGGCUUCCUGGACCGAUACUGACACUGAGGAUCGAAAGCGUGGGUAGCAAACAGGAUUAGAUACCCUGGUAGUCCACGCCCUAAACGAUGUCAACUAGCCGUAGCGGGUAUCGACCCCUGCUGUGGCGAAGCUA